rnacentral:rRNA from 1 species
UACGAAGGGGGCUAGCGUUGUUCGGAAUCACUGGGCGUAAAGGGCGCGUAGGCGGCCGAUCAAGUCGGGGGUGAAAGCCUGUGGCUCAACCACAGAAUUGCCUUCGAUACUGAUUGGCUUGAGACCGGAAGAGGUUAGUGGAACUGCGAGUGUAGAGGUGAAAUUCGUAGAUAUUCGCAAGAACACCAGUGGCGAAGGCGGCUGACUGGUCCGGUUCUGACGCUGAGGCGCGAAAGCGUGGGGAGCAAACAGG